UGCAAUCGUGAAUUUCAACUU
rnacentral:piRNA from 1 species